rnacentral:lncRNA from 1 species
CCCGUUCUUUGACGCACUAUAAAAUAUUGUCUUGCACUUGUUAUUCUAGUGAAGAAUUUUUGCUCUCUUUUCUUCUGUAGUGGAUAUAUCAGAAGUAAGUGGUAAAGAUCAAGUAGAAGCACAGCCUGCCAAAAAGGGGAGGGGAAGGAAACAAUAGUGCUUCAUGAUCUGUAUGGAUUUUGGACAAAAUCACAAUUGUCAAGGGAACGUUUGAAACUAAUGUUGCUUUUAACCCAUCUUGUUCGGUUGCAAUGGUUUUUUGGUCAACUUCUAUAUAUUUGUAGGGAAUCAUGUGCUAAAUUCUUUGUUUUGUACCAAUUUUCUCGUUUUUUUUCUUCCAAGAUUCUCGUGAUUUUUGUUUUAUUUCUCGUACUCCAGUUGAAUUGUGGUUCAUAUAGGUGUCAUUAAUGAACUUUGCAUUCUUUCACUGGCUUUUAG